rnacentral:rRNA from 1 species
CUAAGUUUGAUGGCGGCCGGCGCACGGGUGAGUAACACGUAUCCAACCUGCCGAUGACUCGGGGAUAGCCUUUCGAAAGAAAGAUUAAUACCCGAUGGCAUAGUUCUUCCGCAUGGUGGAACUAUUAAAGAAUUUCGGUCGUCGAUGGGGAUGCGUUCCAUUAGGUUGUUGGCGGGGUAACGGCCCACCAAGCCUUCGAUGGAUAGGGGUUCUGAGAGGAAGGUCCCCCACAUUGGAACUGAGACACGGUCCAAACUCCUACGGGAGGCAGCAUG